GUCGCUACAUAAAACACUUGAUUUUAAUUCAGUCGCUCAUGUAACACAAUUAAACGUCGGAUUUUGUCAGUUUAUUGCCAGGUCUCGAGACAAUGUGUUGGGUAAUCUGUGGGAAGCUGGCGGUCAUCUACGUUGGUCCAAUGAAUUCUGCAGUAAUUGGUUAAGUGUGCAAGUAAUAGAAGAGGCACAGGAAUCUCUUGAGUUGAUUUGACAUCAGGAGCGCCAACCACCCGUCUUGAUGAGGUCGACGCUGAGCUUCCGUAACGGCGCCUGAGCGGGAUUACGGAAAUGGUGUGGUAUCCUGGCCUGCAUGGCCUGGAUGUCGGACGCGGGCACCGAGCGAAGCGCGGCUGCCUGCAGGGAGGCCAGAGACUCCUCGGCCACCAGUCGACCGUAGAGGGGCGCAUGGCCCCCGGCCCCUCCGCCACCGGCACCACCAUCACCGGCCCCCGUCACGCUGCCGCCGCCGCUGCCUCCGGUUAGCACCGUCACUGCAACCACACACAAAUCACAAAUUAGAUAUUUUGGAUCGACUGAUAUCAUGGGCUUGAAAAAAAUAGUUUCAUUUAAUUCUAUUUCACCAAAAAAGUAUUGCAAAAAUGAAGAUACACAUUUUUUUAGCUAUUCAAACAAUUGUAAUGUAGCCGAUUAUUUGACAUGCAUUUUCACAAUCCGAGAGCAUCCAAUGUUUAAAAAUUAAAAGUGUCGACGACGGUGAAAAUUUAUGACAAGUAGAAUUGGACUGAAAAAUGUAUGCCUGUUGGCAGUCGGUUACGAGGAUGGGACCUGGAACUAUGUACAGCAGAUAAUUGGACCCGGCUCUACCCCUCUCUGUAGAGACACCAUUCUUCAGGUUCAGUGAGUUAUUAUUGUUAUUAUUAUAUAUUAUUCAUCGAUUUUAUUGAAGGCAAAUCCUGUAAUUAUUAUUCUAUUGUUUAUUAAAAAAGUUUUCUUAAUAUGUUAUUCAAGUUUCCAGUUUCAUUUUGAGUUUCAAUUAAAUUAAACCGAUUAUUUAG